AGGCGGGAUUACCCGCUGAACUUAAGCAUAUCAAUAAGCGGAGGAAAAGAAAAUAACAAUGAUUCCCCUAGUAACGGCGAGUGAACAGGGAAAAGCUCAAAGUUGGAACCUCCUGGCCCUAGGUCUGGCGGAUUGUAAACUAAAGCUCUCGAGUAGUUCGGCUAGCCUGGUAAAAAAGUUCUCUGGAAAGGGACGACAUGGAGGGUGAAAUCCCCGUCUUUGGCCAGAGCAUAGUCCAACGUUUGCUUGGAAGUGAAGAGUCAGGUUGUUUGGUAUUGCAGCCUAAAGCUGGAGGUAAAUCUCUCCUAAAGCUAAAUAUUGACGAAAGACCGAUAGCGAACAAGUACCGUGAGGGAAAGAUGAAAAGCACUUUGAAAAGAGGGUCAAAAAGUACGUGAAAUUGCUGAAAGGGAACCGUAUGAAAUCAGCCUGUCUCUUUGGUAAUCAACCUGGAAUUCGUUCUGGGUGCACUUGCCAGUGAGUCAGCCUGCGACAAUUUGGUUUGGGGGAAAAAAUCAGGGGGAAUGUGGCAUCCGCUUCGGUCGUUGGGUUAUAGCCCUUUGAAAAAUACCCUGGACUGGAUUGAGGAAUGCAACAAAGCCUUUGGGAUUAACUGUGGGGCCCUUGGCUUUUCCCUUGGAAAAAAUCCUUGCUAGCCGUUGUUGUCUUUUACGGCCGGGUCAACUCCCCCACGUUUUCAUUUUUCGUCCU
rnacentral:rRNA from 1 species